rnacentral:tRNA from 2 species
GCAGGUGUGGCGGAAUCGGCAGACGCGCUAGCUUCAGGUGCUAGUGAUCGCAAGGUCGUAUGGGUUCAAGUCCCUUCACCUGCACUA